rnacentral:rRNA from 1 species
UACGUACUGUGCGAACGUUAUUCGGAAUCACUGGGCUUAAAGGGUGUGUAGGCGGCUAGCUAAGUAGGGUGUGAAAGGCCCUCGGCCUAACCGAGGCAUUGCGCUCUAAACUGACUGGCUUGAGUAAGAUAGGGGUGUGCGGAACUUCCAGUGGAGCGGUGAAAUGUGUUGAUAUUGGGAAGGAACGCCGGUGGCGAAAGCGGCACACUGGGUCUUUACUGACGCUGAGACACGAAAGCCAGGGUAGCGAACGGG